GGCGUAAAGCGCGUGUAGGCGGUCUGACAAGUUGGAUGUGAAAGCUCCUGGCUUAACUGGGAGAGGUCGUUCAAAACUGUUAGACUUGAGAGUGGUAGAGGGAGGUGGAAUUCCGGGUGUAGUGGUGAAAUGCGUAGAUAUCCGGAGGAACACCAGUGGCGAAAGCGGCCUCCUGGACCAUUUCUGACGCUCAGACGCGAAAGCUAAGGUAGCAAACAGGAUUAGAUACCCUGGUAGUCCACGCCCUAAACGAUGUCAACUGGUUGUUGGGUCUUCACUGACUCAGUAACGAAGCUAACGCGUGAAGUUGACCGCCUGGGGAGUACGGCCGCAAGGUUAAAACUCAAAGGAAUUGACGGGGACCCGCACAAGCGGUGGAUGAUGUGGUUUAAUUCGAUGCAACGCGAAAAACCCUACCUACCUUUGACAUGUACGGAAUCCUGCAGAGACGCAGGAGUGCUCGAAAGAGAGCCGUAACACAGGUGCUGCAUGGCUGUCGUCAGCUCGUGUCGUGAGAUGUUGGGUUAAGUCCCGCAACGAGCGCAACCCUUGCCAUUAGUUGCUACGAAAGGGCACUCUAAUGGGACUGCCGGUGACAAACCGGAGGAAGGUGGGGAUGACGUCAAGUCCUCAUGGCCCUUAUAGGUGGGGCUACACACGUCAUACAAUGGCUGGUACAAAGGGUUGCCAACCCGCGAGGGGGAGCCAAUCCCAUAAAGCCAGUCGUAGUCCGGAUCGCAGUCUGCAACUCGACUGCGUGAAGUCGGAAUC
rnacentral:rRNA from 1 species